AAAAAUUUAGUUAAUACAUAACAUUAACCUGUCACGUUAAAAUAAUUAAAUCUUAAUAAUUUUUA
rnacentral:tRNA from 1 species